rnacentral:rRNA from 1 species
UGCCAGCCGCCGCGGUAAUACGGGGGGGACAAGUGUUAUUCGGAAUGACUGGGUGUAAAGAGUCUGUAGGCGGUUUUUUAAGUUGAAAUAUAAAUCUUGUAGCUUGACUUCAAGAAAGGUUUCAAAACUGAAAGACUAGAGUUUGAUAGGGGAAAGUAGAAUUUCUAAUGGAGGGAUAAAAUUCAUAGAUAUUAGAAGGAAUACCAGAGGCGAAGGCGACUUUCUGGAUCAAAACUGACGCUGAGAGGCGAAAGCAUGGGUAGCGAACAGGAUUAGAUA